GCGGGGAGCUAGGGAGUUUAUUUGAUCACCACGUCCAGAGGGCGGUAUGCGACACACGGGCCAAAUAUCGAGAGGGACGACGGCCUCGUGCUGUGAAGGUAUAUACAAUCAAUUUGGAAUCUCAGUACUUAUUAAUACAAGGAGUUCCUGCUGUGGGAGUCAUGAAGGAAUUAGUUGAGCGAUUCGCUUUAUAUGGUGCAAUUGAACAGUACAAUGCUCUAGAUGAAUACCCAGCAGAAGACUUUACUGAAGUUUAUCUUAUUAAAUUUAUGAACUUACAAAGUGCAAGGACAGCCAAGAGAAAAAUGGAUGAACAGAGUUUCUUCGGUGGAUUGCUUCAUGUGUGCUAUGCUCCAGAAUUUGAAACAGUUGAAGAAACUAGAAAAAAACUACAAAUGCGGAAGGCAUAUGUAGUAAAAACUACUGAAAAUAAAGGUAAUUUCAUCUGUGCCAAAGCCUCCAGAGGACAAGCCAGAAGAUGUACAUACAAGUCAUCCAUUAAAACAAAGAAGAAGAAUAUAGAGUGCCAGCAGCAACUUAGUAUUUUCUAAAAAGAACAUUUAUUAUUUAUUUUUAGCCUGUCAUUUUAAUUCUUCAAGAGAUUUUACUGCUGGUAUUUUUUAAUGCACUCCUCUUUGUAAUUUCAUUCAAGCCAUUUGUCUAAAGUCAUUUCUUUGUUUUUUGGGAGAUGGAGUCUUGCUCUGUUGCCCAGGCUGGAAUGCAGUGGCGUGAUCUCGGCUCACUGCAACCUCCACCUCCCGGGUUCAAGCGAUUCUCCUGCCUCAGCCUCCUGAGUAUCUGGGAUUACAGGCGUGCACCACCAUGCCUGGCUAAGUUUUGUGUUUUUUUUAGUAGAGAUGGGUUUUCACCAUAUUGGUCAGGCUGGUCUCGAACUCCUGACCUUGUGAUACACCUGCCUCAGCCUCCCAAAGGGAUGAGCCACCGCGCCUGGCCCAUUUCUUCUUUUUUUGACCCAUACUUAAUGUUGCAGAAACUAUUCUUGUCAUAACAUUAUCUCUCAUGUACAGUAAUUAUAUGUAAAUUAAUUGAAGCAAAUAUGGAAACUUUACAAUAGAAAUAAAGAUAGGCAGCCAGCGUCUGUUUCCAAUUAUAAUACAA
rnacentral:lncRNA from 1 species